UACGGAGGGUGCAAGCGUUAAUCGGAAUUACUGGGCGUAAAGCGCGCGUAGGCGGUUAAUUCAGUCAGAUGUGAAAGACCCGAGCUCAACCUGGGAACGGCAUCUGAAACUGGUUGGCUAGAGUGUUGUAGAGGAGGGUAGAAUUCCAUGUGUAGCGGUGAAAUGCGUAGAGAUGUGGAGGAAUACCGGUGGCGAAGGCGGCCCCCUGGACUAAGACUGACGCUCAGGUGCGAAAGCGUGGGGAGCAAACAGG
rnacentral:rRNA from 1 species